rnacentral:rRNA from 1 species
AAUAGAUACCCGGGUAGUCCACGCCGUAAACGAUGGAUACUAGCUGUUGGAGGUAUCGACCCCUCCAGUAGCGAAGCUAACGCGUUAAGUAUCCCGCCUGUGGAGUACGGUCGCAAGACUAAAACAUAAAGGAAUUGACGGGGACCCGCACAAGCGGUGGAUCGUGUUCUUUAAUUCGAUGAUAAACGAUGAACCUUACCAGGGCUUGACAUCCCGAGAAUUUUGCCGAAAGGCGAGAGUGCUUUAUUGAACUCGGUGACAGAUCUUGCAUGGCCGUCGUCAGCUCGUGUCGUGAGAUGUUUGGUUAAGUCCAUCAACGAGCGCAACCCUUGUGAAUAGUUGUAUUUUUCUAUUCAGACUGCCCCGGCAACGGGGAGGAAGGAGGGGAUGAUGUCAGGUCAGUAUUAGUCUUACGUCCUGGGCUAGAAACGCAAUACAAUGGCGAGUACAAUGCGCAGCGAAGCCGCGAGGUGAAGCAAAUCGCAUCAAAACUCGUCCCAGUUCGGAUAAGAGGCUGAAACUCGCCUCUUUGAA